ensembl:snoRNA
UGGAUCAAUGAUGAGUACCCUGGGGUGUCUGAAAUCAAGGAUUUUGAUUAAACCCUGUAACUCUGAGGUCCAUU